rnacentral:SRP_RNA from 1 species
GCCAGGUGCGGUGGCACAUGCCUGUAGUCCCAGCUACUCAGGAGGCUGAGGUGGGAGGAUCACUUAAGCCCAAGAGUUCUGGGCUGUAGUGCGCUUUGUCGAUUGGGUGUCCGCACUAAGUUCAGCAUCAAUAUGGUGACCUCCUGGGAGCGGGGGACCACCAGGUUGCCUAAAGAGGGGUGAACUGGCCCAGGUUGGAAAUGGAAAACGUCAAAACUCCUAUGCUGAUCAGUAGUGGGAUCGCACCUGUGAAUAGCCACUGCACUCCAGCCCAGGCAACAUAGUGAGACCCGAUUUCU